AUGACCCCCGCCCGUCCGGCCCCCGACGUCCCAAUCAGUCACCACCUCCCUGAAGGAAAACAAACCGGCCCCAGGCGCAUCCCUCCACGUGCAGCGCGCCACUGCGGCCAGGCGAAGGCCGACGCCGCGUCUCCCCGCCUGUCGCCCCGACGCGCGGCCCCACUAUUGCGCGCGCCCUCCAGGUGGCUCCGCGUCCCCGGGGGCGGGGGCAGCGCCGGGAGGCGGCCUCGGCGGCGGCGGGCUGGGGCGCUCGGUCGCUCACUCGCUCGCUCGGGGUCGGGGCCCCGCGGCGGCUGCGCCCCCUCCGCCGCGCCCCGGGUGCCGAUCCGCCGCCUUCCUUCCCGGGGAGCGGGGGUGAGGGGAGGGGCCGGCGCUCCUGGCCGCUGCCUCGGAGCCCAAGGGUCCUAUUUCGUUUCCCCACCGUCUCCUCGUCCCCGCAGCCCGACCAGAGGCCCGAGCGGCCCGGUCAGGGACGAGAGCGCGGCCGCCGCGGGCGAGGGUGGGAGAGCGCGCGCGAGGGCAGGGUGGCCGGCGACAGGGGCCCGGCGGCCGGACUUACUCGGGUCACAACUUCGGCGACGCGGGGCGGAGGAACCGGUUCUUCCAAGACCAACCCGAAAUGGCUGCAUGUAUCCAAUAAAAGUGGAAGAGGGAAGAUAAUGGCCUGAACAGUGACGUGUCUAGGGACAUAAAUGUGCGGAGCAGCUCGGCGGUCGGGAUUUUUCCAGGGAAACCUCAAAGAGAGAUGCUGUUCCGAGGCUGUUUCUAAGUAGGAGUGGAUUAUUUCCCCAAGGAUUGUGAACAGUUCCUUUGUCCAAAUCCAAGAUACAGAAAUGCAUACGCUCUCUGAAACAGGACAUUCGAAUUUCAUUUAUUUAGAUCUAAAGCCCUCAAAGAAUUUGAGAUGCAGAGAUGAAAAGACUCUUUUUUAAUGAUAUGUUUUCGGUAAACAGGCAGAUACGCGAAAGAGGGCGGUUUGCUUCUGGAAGCUGAUUCGCUUUCGAAUGUGUCUUCUACUUGCUAAAAGUAUAUAUUAUUGGAAACAAACUCCAAAGACAAACUUCUGUCAAUGUAGAUGCAUCUUUUGAUAAGUAAAAUCAAACACAAAUUUUCUUUGGAAAGGAAAGAAAAAUCAAAGAGCUACCGCUGACAUCUCAAUCAAGUUAAGAUUUAAGAAAAAUUAAUCCCUCUGUAAGAACGUUGCUUUGUUUUUCUUUUCUAACAUGUCUUGAAUUAAACAAAACAUGUUAACAAGAUUGUAACGAAAACUCUGCAUCAUGUAAACAUCCAAAGAAAGAAAUUCUAGAUUGAUUAUAUUCUGGGACCGCAAAGAUUUUAUUACUAGAUAUACUGAAAUAGUGGAAUAAGAGACGGUGAAAGCUGUAGGACUCUGGGGCAGGGGGGUGUUAGGGAGACUUUGGAAAACUUUCCCCCAAUUAAAAAAAUACUUCAUAAAAUGUAAAUGCAAUAAGUUGAGCUGAAUUUUAUUUUUCCAGGAUUAAAAUACGUAUUUAGUAGGUUUGGAAAGGCCAAUUGCCAAUUCAUGAACCUAUCAGAAUAAAAUAUAAACGCAAAUGCCA
rnacentral:lncRNA from 1 species